UGGGGAAUAUUGCACAAUGGGGGAAACCCUGAUGCAGCGACGCCGCGUGAGCGAUGAAGUAUUUCGGUAUGUAAAGCUCCAUCAGCAGGGAAGAAAAUUGACGGUACCUGACUAAGAAGCCCCGGCUAACUACGUGCCAGCAGCCGCGGUAAUACGUAGGGGGCAAGCGUUAUCCGGAUUUACUGGGUGUAAAGGGAGCGUAGACGGCGACGCAAGUCUGGAGUGAAAGCCCGGGGCCCAACCCCAGGGCACUGCUUUGGAAAUACUGUGCUGCUGGAGUGCAGGAGAGGUAAGUGGAAUUCCUAGUGUAGCGGUGAAAUGCGUAGAUAUUAGGAGGAACACCAGUGGCGAAGGCGGCUUACUGGACGAUAACUGACGUUGAGGCUCGAAAGCGUGGGGAGCAAACAGGAUUAGAUACC
rnacentral:rRNA from 1 species